rnacentral:rRNA from 1 species
CACGUAGGAGGCGAGCGUUGUCCGGAAUCAUUGGGCGUAAAGAGCGCGCAGGCGGCUUGGCAAGUCGGGUGUGAAAUCCCGGGGCUCAACCCCGGGACUGCAUUCGAUACUGUCAGGCUAGAGGUAGGUAGGGGAGAUCGGAAUUCCUGGUGUAGCGGUGAAAUGCGCAGAUAUCAGGAGGAACACCCGUGGCUAAGGCGGCUCUCUAGUACGGUACUGACGCUGAGACGCGAAAGCGUGGGGAGCGAACAGG